rnacentral:rRNA from 1 species
CCGUAGCCCAAGAGAUCGGGAUAACACCUGGAAACAGAUGCUAAUACCGGAUAACAAUAGAUGAUGCCUAUCAACUGUUUAAAAGAUGGUUCUGCUAUCACUCUUGGAUGGACCUGCGGUGCAUUAGCUAGUUGGUAGGGUAACGGCCUACCAAGGCGAUGAUGCAUAGCCGAGUUGAGAGACUGAUCGGCCACAUUGGGACUGAGACACGGCCCAAACUCCUACGGGAGGCAGCAGCA